UCAGACCCAUAUAAAAGGCAAUGACCAAAACCUUAAAAGACUUCACCACCACCACCACCACUCUUCUUGUCACCGCCGUUACCAAUGUCGUUAAAUCUCCGUUAGUUUCUCACUAUCUCCGCCGCCGCACCAAUGUCUCACUCUCGCUCCUCCACUUCUGCUACUAACUUGUACUGCGCCGAGGACGCAGACGGCGUCGUAUCAUGGGAAGCUGGUAAUGACGACGAUGACGACGACGACACGUGGAUCUCAUCCAAUCACCGUCCAUCCUCUAUCCUGGUCCUGGACCAAAUUCAAUAUGUCUACUCUAUCCUGGUCCUGGACCAAAUUCAAUUCUUUAUUUCCCUUAAAAUUCUGUGGAUAGAGGGAUUUUAUGAGAUGGUAGCUUUGCCAGAGUGGCUGGGCAAUCUUUCCUCUCUUCAAAAGCUGUAUAUUGUGGAUUGCAAUCGCUUGCUGCAUCUGCCCACCGAGGAAGCCAUGCGACACCUCACCCAAUUGAAAACGCUGGAGAUUUAUGAUUGCCCCAAUUUGGAAGACAAUGAGCGGUCCAAGAUUGACCAUAUUCCAUUUGUUGACAUACAGGAUAGUGGGCGGCCAGAUUGGUCUGAUUUCGAAGACGAAGACUAAAUCAGGAAGCUGGCAAGAAGUUUGCAUUUGGGAAAAUAAUUGAGUUGAUGACAACUGUUGCCAAGGCACUUCAGGCAUGAGGGACAACAUAUCUGUUGUGUUCAGCUGGAUGAAAAAUUACAUUAUGAAGUUUUCGUUCACUCCCACGCCAACAGAAGUUUUAGCUGCUAACAAGAAUAUUGCAUCACAGAAAAUAGCGAACUUGAUGACAACUGAUGCCAAGGCACUUCAGAAAACUAAACCUUAGCACCAAGCCAAGGAAGGGUGCUUACACAUCUGCUGUGAGAGGAACCUCCUCGAUUCUACACUACCUCUUUGAUAUGCUUGUCGCAUCAACUGCUUUUCUACCUGUUCCAGCUCCUGAAUUUUUUUAAUCAUAGCAACAACCUCUAAGAAAAUGGGAAAAUCAGAGAGUUGAAAGGUUAGGAGUACCCACACGUUUGAUUAAUUCAGAAGUCAAGCAAACACUUGACACCCAUUCAAAAAUUGAUGAAACAAGAAAUAACCUAUUUUCUUUCUAUAAAUGAUAAAAAGGUGAGAUUAAUCUCCAUUACAUUUGUAAAGAGGUAGAGUGCAAUGAACAGUUUUUCAAUUAAGACACAAUAUCCACUUUUGGCCUUUUGCAAUACACAAGAAUCUCAACAAAGAAAGGAAAACUUCUUAAAAAAAUUACAGAAUCAAAAUGCAUGGAAAACCUCAUUUCUGACCAUCUCACAAUUCGUCUUUAGAUAGGAUAUGAAACUCAAGGGAGCCAUCAAUCUUUUCCACCUGCAAUUUCUGUAAAGAUGUCAGUGACUAAUUAUCCACACAACUAAAACUGAGAAGCAUAGAAAGAGACACUCUUAACCCAACUAAAUGUAUCAAUUAGGAGAGCUCUCUUAAAUAGGGACUUGUAGUAAUAUUGGACUAUUGUCAGUAAACAACAUUCCUCUAGCAGAAUGCCAAUAUAAAAUUUACAUUUUCAAAUGAACAUUGGUUGGUGGGAUCUCUAAAAUGGUUCAAAGCUGCUGAUUCUAGUAUUUUUUUUGUUUUUUUUGUUUUUCCUAAUUUCUUUUGGCUGGGAUGGUAAAAAAAUAAAAUAAAGGCACAUUCAACUUUACCUAAUUUUUUAAGAAAUAUAUAACCAUUCCAUAGAACCAAAUAGUGAGAAUAUCUUGUACAGUAACUUGAGGACCUAUCAUUCAUUAAUGAGCUAUACAUUUGCAAGAAGUCGCAAUAUCUGCUUGGGGUGAAGUGGCUCAUUGCGUCACUAAAUUACAAAUACUAGUGAUCUUUGAUUGUCCCAAUCAGAGGUCAUGUAGUUUAGCCCAAAAGGGUCUAAGAUUGCCCAUAUUCUAUUUAUUGAGAUAAACCUUAGAUACAUCCUAUGUAAUAAAUAGGUCAAAAUCAUUUAAAAAUGGUAUGUUCUCUCUAUUUCCUUCUGUUUAGUGUUUUGGUUUGAAGUUGACUAAUUGUUCAUGAUUUGUUCUCCUCUCUGCUGCUUUUUUUUUUUUUUUUUUUUUUUUUCAGCCGUAUAUAUGUUACCAUAUUCUUUGGUUAAUGAUAUCCUAAGAGUUUUGUGACAAACCAUUAAUUCAUAUUUAACAUAUCUUACUGCGUAGCUUCUGUGUAUCUUCUACUUUUAGCUCUAUUUUAUCAUGGUUCUUCCAUGAUGGUUGAAUUUCUAUUAGCACAUCAAAUAUUUCUCAGAAAAUUCAGAAAGUCUUUUGUUUUUUAUUUUAAGGAUUUCAUUUGAAUUAUCACUUCUUAUUUUUUCAUAUUUUCUAAUAAUAUUCUACACUUAUCUACUCUUUACAAUUGUGCUAUCUUCGUUGAAAAAAUUGCAAAACUAAAGUUGCUGUGUAUGUGAGAGAAGAAGAGUUCAGAAAUUUUUUCUACAAAACCAACUACUUUCAAGCCAAAAUUGGAAGGUCGUUAUAAUUCCCGAUUUCGAUGAAGUUUCAGUAUAUUUUUCCUAACGAACAGAGCCUCAUGCAUGUUGACUGGUGUUGUUGCUUGAAGUUCCUCUACGUUUUCUCAAAUGCUGGCCAGUUGGUGAGAUCUUUUCUUAUUGUUACUGUAAGUAUCCACCUCAAUGCAUAGCGUUAUGAAUAAUUUUUUGUAAUUCAAGAUUGAUUUUUUUUUUCUUGGUAAUCUCUAGCAUUUGCUCUUGAGAAUAUUGUUGUAAACCCAUUUUCUAUAGUGGAAGAUUGUUGUAAACCCAUUUUCUGGUUUUUCCCUUUUCAUUGAAGGGUUUUCCAUGUAAAAAUUCGGGGUCUUGAUUGUGGCUUGCUACUGAGAUUUUUAUAUUUAUAUAUUGGUUAUUGUGCUUAUCUAA